GAAGGAAGCCGCCGAAUUAUGUGGUAAUAAUAAUUCCAACAUGGCCCAAAAAGGGGCGGAGUAGAGAGAGUUUAUGAAUCUUUUGACAACUGCUAUGUGCACCCAACAGGUGAAACUUCUUAUUUGUAAUUGUCGCACUUUAUUUUGGCUUAAUUUCAUUAAUACCCCUCUAAGAUGCUCUAAUUACAAUUUAAUUGGAUUCUUGAAUAUAAAAUGAUCAAACUUUUCUGCAGUCUGUAUUUCCUUUUGUCCUAUCAUGAACUAUGCAUUUAGAAUUAUUUACUCCUUUGUGCAGCUAAGCAGAAACUAAUCAAUUGUACAUGGUAUAUAUUGUGUCAGUUUCUUGUUGACAAUUUAGUAGGUAUGUCCCUUAUUAGAUUGCUAGAAACAACUUUGUUGAGAGUUAAGUUGCAAUCUAGCUAGCUAACCAAUUUUUUUUUUUUUUAAAUUAAAAUCCUCUAUAAAUUUCGAUUUAAAAGAUCAAUCUUCAUCCAGAUUAUUCCAUGUUUGUUUCAAAUUACUUAAAAAAAUCCUCAUACGAAUAGGAAGAUUUGAAAAAGAUUAAAAAAAAAAAAAACGAAUAUGACCUACACUUUCUACUGUGUUGGUGCAUUAUUAUUACUACAUUUGAUCACUUGCCAUCAUCAAAUUGUCAUUGCCGCUUCAUUCACAAGAGGCACAAUAAGUAGUAGUAAGCUCUCCCUCAGGCUAAUUCACCGUCAUUCGAUAACUCCACCACCUAUUCACAGGCUUUCAUCGGACAAUGAUGAUAUACGAGCUCCAUUAAUUCCGAUGGAAGACACCAGUCUUUUCCUGGUCAACAUCUCCAUCGGUCAUCCCCCGGUCCCGCAGCUCCUAGCCAUGGACACCGGCAGCAACCUCAUUUGGGUCCACUGCACCCGUUGUGACAGCUGUAAAACCAAAAUAUUCGACCCGAAAAGAUCCUCCACCUACAUUGGUAUAUCCAACUCAUCCCGCCUCUGUCAGGACUACGCCGCCUCCCCCAGCUACAACAACCCGCAGUACGAUUCGCAGUGCUCUUUCGGAAUAAGAUACGAGGACAAUACCGCAAGCAGCGGCGUCCUCGCCCUGGAGAAGUUCACUUUCCUGACUUCCACCGGAGGUACGGUGGAAAUCCCUAACGUGGUCCUAGGGUGCACCCUAGAAUUCGACGGGGGUCCCGGUGGAAACUUCAACGGAAUCUUCGGCCUCGAAGCCCCCAACGAGCACCACUUCGUCUCCCGCACCGGCGGCAACAGAUUCUCCUACUGCCUAGGCAGCAUUAGAGAUACGAGCUAUAUCUAUAACCAGCUGAUUUUGGGAAGCGGAGCUAUAAUCCAGGGCAUGUCCACUCCCAUGAGCACUAGGAACAACCACUACUUUGUCACAAUCGAAGGCAUAAGCGUGGGGGAUAAGCAGUUGGCCAUAAAUGAGUACGAUUUCUAUUACAAUGCUGUGAUAGAUACAGGUACGACUUUUACGGAGCUCGUGAAGAGUGCGUACGUGCAGCUUGUGGAGGAGGUGAGGGGGUUGAUGGAUGGGUUAUUGGAGCCCGCGCAUGUCGGGAAUGGCGAUAAUAUGCUGUGCUAUUUGGGGGAUUUGGAUAAAGAUCUCAAAGGGUUUCCGAUUGUGAGCUUGCAUCUUUCGGAAGGGGUUGAUAUUGAUUUGGAUGUUGAAGGAAUGUUCCAGAAGACUCCGGAAGGAUUGGGGUUCUGCAUGGCGGUUGUGGAAUCGAAGUCGAUGAAUGUGAUCGGUGUGAUGGCGCAGCAGUACUACAAUGUGGGGUUUAAUUUGGAUAAUAUGAGGGCAAUAGACUAUUUCGACGGAUCCUACUGCAGGGGCAUUAUCGUCUUCGAGAAGUUCACGUUCGCUACAUCUGACGGGGGCAUAUCGGUGAUUCCCGAUUUAAUGUUUGGCCGGGGGUCAAAAGCAUUGGAACCGUGGAGACACUACACGGGAUCUUCGCACUCCAAAACCUUAACCGUUGGUGCUGGGCGAAGGAGCUGUGAUCGAAGGCAACUCAACCCCGUUGAGAAUUUGGCACGGUUACUAUGUGGUGAGCAUACAGGGGAUUAGUGUAGGGGAGAAGCAACUCGAGUUCGACAAGCAAGAAUUUUAUUACAACGUUGUAAUAAAUUCGUUUGAUUCGACUUGAAUGGGAUGGAAGCUUCUCUGCAACAGCACAAAGUCUCUUAAACCAGACGAACUUUGGGAGCCAAAAAGGGUAUAUUUCUUGCUGCCUUAUUCACUCUUCGAAACCAACGUUUCGCCAUUGUACUUUGCCCCCACUGCUAGAAAACUGGCCUCGGUUGCACAGAAGGGCACUUCCAAAUCCAAGUCAUGCAACCAUAAACUGCCAGCAAGUUCAGACCGAGUUUUUUCAGACAAGAGCAACAACAUAGGAGUCGAAAUGGGGAACGGUGAAGUGUUUCUUGGUACGAAAAAGUGUUCAAAGUCGAGAUCCUGGAGUUCGGUCUUGGCUACAAUUCGAGAGAAAUCUUUCGAUAGCAGAAGUGAAUCUGAGUUAAAGGAAAGUAUACAAUUCAAGUUGAUGUAUAGUGCAAGAGGGGUUCUUUUUGUUUUUUUUUUUUUUUUUUUUUUUUUUUUUUUGUUUUGUUUUGUUUUAAGUUAGCUUUACUAAAAAUAGGAGAAUUAAAUCAUAAUUGUUGAUAUAUUAUUUGC